rnacentral:rRNA from 1 species
AUACGUAGGUGGCAAGCGUUAUCCGGAUUUACUGGGUGUAAAGGGCGCGUAGGCGGGGGUGCAAGUCAGAUGUGAAAUCUAUGGGCUUAACUCAUAAACUGCAUUUGAAACUGUAUCUCUUGAGUGCUGGAGAGGUAGACGGAAUUCCUUGUGUAGCGGUGAAAUGCGUAGAUAUAAGGAAGAACACCAGUGGCGAAGGCGGUCUACUGGACAGUAACUGACGCUGAGGCGCGAAAGCGUGGGGAGCAAACAGGAUUAGAUACCCUGGUAGUCCACGCUGUAAACGAUGAAUACUAGGUGUAGGGGGUAUCGACUCCCUCUGUGCCGCAGUUAACACAAUAAGUAUUCCGCCUGGGGAGUACGGCCGCAAGGUUGAAACUCAAAUGAAUUGGCGGGG